GCAGUGAGCCAUGCCAAUGUGGUUUGGCUGGACUGUGAGUGCUUGAUGCAGUCUGAUAGGAGGAUGGGGGUGGCGCAGAGAACAUUGAAAUCAGAAAGGAUUCUGCUCUGUAGAGACAAAGGAAACACAGAGACAUAGACAUGGAUCUGGGAAAUACACCUUUUGCUACUCGUUCAGUUUUAGCAAGGAGGUUUCUUGCAUGGCUAAGCAAAACUUAAACUUCCUCUGAGAAUUACAGGAAUUACAGGACCUGACAAAGCUAUGAAGAUUAAAACCUAUAGGAAGAAAAUCUGAACCAGAAACAGUAUGGCAGAAUUGGGAUCUGACUCACAGAGGGAAGAACUUAUAAUUCUUCACAGGUCACAUAGAAGCAUGAGAAUUUGGGUUCAAGCAAUUUUAAAUGCCGCAACUCAGCAAGAAAAAAAAAGUGUCUGGUAUCUUCCUGAACAACUACCUGGUAUUAUACAGACGCCUAAAUACCUGACGUGUGACAGCAAAUGCCUGUUCCCAUGGAGCUGCUGCUUCUGAGAAAGCUUGAAACAGACAAAGAAUAAGGUAGAAAUGACCUCCUCACUAGAGAUGAAAAGAAGCUGUCCUGGUGAGGAAAUUGGAUCCCAGCUUUUGCCGCUAAGAUUCUUCUCUUCUGCCUCUGGUUUUCUUUAUUGUUCACCCCCAGAAGCAAUCGCUCUCUCACAAGGCAACACACGCAAUAGAGUGAACAGUGAUUCUACAGUCUGAUUCUGGAAAAGGCGACCACAGUGGAAAGAGUGAUCCACACAAGUAUAGGGCCUCCUGAUUAAAACACUAAGAUUUCAUCUCACGCUGUGCCUUUAUACUGUUGAGAUACUAAAGAGGACACUAAAGAUCAAAGUGCUACUUUACAACAUUUUGAAGAAAACAACUGCUACCUGUGUAUUAGUUUGUGCAGAUGUGUUACACAGCUUAGCUGUGUCUGUACCAGUUUAUUAGAAUCAAAGUAUUUUUAAAGUACCUAAGGCCAGGCACAGUGGCUCACACCUGUAAUCCCAGCACUUUGGGAGGCUGAGGCAAGUGGAUCACUUGAGAUCAGGAAUUCAAGACCAGCCUGGCCAACAUGGUGAAACCCCAUCUCUACUAAAAAUACAAAAAUUAGCCAGGCAUGGUGUCACAUGCCUGUAAUCCCAGUGACUCAAGAGGCUGAGGUAUGAGAAUCAAUCGUUUGAACUCAGAAGGAGAGGUUGCAGUGAGUGGAGAUAGCAACACUGUACUCCAGCCUGGGUGACAGAGUGAGAUCCAGUCUCAAAAAAAAAAAAAAAAAAAAAAAAA
rnacentral:lncRNA from 1 species